rnacentral:rRNA from 1 species
AUACGGAGGGUGCAAACGUUGCUGGGAAUCAUUGGGCGUAAAGCGCACGUAGGCGGUUCGGUAAGUCGGAUGUGAAAGCCCUAGGCUUAACCAAGGAAGUGCAUUCGAAACUGCCAAACUUGAGUAUGGGAGAGGGUUGCGGAAUUCUCGGUGAAGAGGUGAAAUUCGUAGAUAUCGGGAGGAACACCAGUGGCGAAGGCGGCAACCUGGCUCGAUACUGACGCUGAGGUGCGAAAGCGUGGGGAGCAAACAGGAUUAGAUACCCCAGUAGUCC